rfam:Citrus tristeza virus defective RNA, strain T318
UUGAAGUGGACGGAAUAAGUUCCUUGCGGAACUUUAAGUCGGGUUGGUAAAAACCCUUUAUGAUGGUGAUGUAUCACUAGACAAUAACCGGAUGGGUAAAGUCUUUAAAAUGAUCGAGGGGAAAAUUAACCGUAUCCUCUCGUUGGUCUAAGCUCCCACAGAGUGGUAGUGGUCUCAAGUGAGGCUUAACGUAUGCGUGAACCAAAGAAGUUCUCCUUAGAGUGUGUGUUGUUUACCCAACACACUGUCCCUAUGGGGGGCCAACAUAGGUCCA